GACAGAGGUGCCGAGCGUUAGGCGGAAUCACUGGGCUUAAAGCGUGUGUAGGCGGGCCGUUAAGUGUCUUGUGAAAUCCCCCGGCUCAACCGGGGAAUUGCUGGGCAUACUGGCGGUCUUGAGCAAUCUAGGGGCAGAUGGAACAAGUGGUGGAGCGGUGAAAUGCGUAGAUAUCACUUGGAACGCCAACGGUGAAGACAGUCUGCUGGGGAUUUGCUGACGCUGAGACACGAAAGCCAGGGGAGCGAACGGG
rnacentral:rRNA from 2 species